UCUCCGAUAGCUAAACGGUUAAAGCUGUCCGCUCAUAACGGAAAGAUUGGGGGUUCGAUUCCCUCUCGGAGAA
rnacentral:tRNA from 1 species